GGGGGGGGGGGGUGUCCAAAAUUAUAUUAGCGAUUAUAUACAUCUCCACUACUGAUAGUAAUCAUACCAAGCGAUUCCAUGGCAGCUGAAUAUCUGACAGGCUCGGAGUAAAUCAAAUAUUCUCCCCACAGGAAAUGGUUUUUAUAAUUUCCCCUCAGUCAUUUGGGCUCCAUAUAUGGGAAGAAAUGUGUGCUCAGAUACAGUGUUUAACUGAGCCUGACUCGCAAGCUUAGUAUAUAUCAGGUGCAGAUUUUUUUUUCAAGCCAAUCUCUUCUCUUCACUGCAGCAUCACAUACACUUGACUUAAGAGCACAACAAGAGUUACUGAGAUUAUACAGUACAGUGCUGGGCAGAAUAAACACAGCUGCUCGCUUUAAACAUUUCUGAUACUUCCAUAACGCAGUGUGAAAAGUCACAUGCCGACCUGUAACGAUCUCAUUGACCAUAUAAUCUCGAAUCAUCUUGUUACAUGCAGGAAUGUGAACCCUUGUGAUGAACAUUGGUGUCGAUUGUAUUCGUCAGGUCUAUUCAGCAUCGUGUUUCUUUCUGAACACACAAGCCUCUGCUACUGAAAUGCAUUUCUCUACUUCUGCUAUAUCAUCGUUACCAUUAUAAGCUGUUAUUAAUGGACAUAAACUUGACACAUAUCUAAUGUUAUGCUGUUUUGAAAGCAGUGAUGGACUUCCAUGAUCCAUCCAUUAGGUUAGUGAGAGGAUUCAUUUUCCCAUCUAGUCAUCCAUACCAGAGAUAAACCCCUCACACAGAGGGAAUGUGCUAGAAAACUGAACCCAAGUCAUGCAGAGGAAAUGGGUUUUGGCCAGAUGCUGUAUUCUUAAGUCUCCUUCAUGGAUAAUGGGUCUCUAUUGGGUUAGAAUGUUCUGCUUUUAUAAAUCUCUCUUUCUUGAAUUUAAUAUAAGACUAUCUGACUAUUUGAGAAGCAGGUUUCUAAAUUAUAUCCCUUUGAUGCAAUGCAUAUUAUUUUGCUGUCACUUGUAUUGUGUGUAUAUACUGUAUAUGCAACACAAACUACUGUAAUGUCCACCUGUGUAAUGCAAUAAAAUCUAAAUCCAACCAUCAUACAAACACAAUCACUCGAUUUCCCCUCUGCCUGAUGUACGAGAUUACAAGUUAAACAUAUGCUCAGAAUUGGGACUAAACCUUAUUAUAUAUUCCAGGCAGAUAAAAUCUAAUUGUCUUGGCUAAAAAUGUCCAUAGAUAUUUUCGUCGUUAAUAAAUAAGCUUAGUUACAGCAUAACUGAAUGCUGGAGCAGAGAGUUUGUACCACUAUGACAUUUGAAGGGAAUGUAAACAUGGAAGAAAGAAGCUGGUACCUCAGCACUCUCUCUAAAAGCCUUGAACAAAGUAAUGGCCUGCAGCUAUGCACAGUUUAUAGUCAGCCACCUCUACACGCAUUCCUGAGAAGAGAGAAAAACAAUCAUUCUGAUACGUACUAUACACGCAGCUACUGAGGUGACGGUUACAAAGCAAUGACACUGUAGACUCCUUCCAUAAAAGUUAAACCAACAUCAUACAGAAAAAUCCAAAUCAACCACGGUACAUUUUUCUUUGUUAAAUAGUAUUUUAAUGGGAUUUUACUCCGAUUACGUUGUUAUAAUCUUGUGAUUUGCCGUGCACAGUCACAGAAGCUUUUAUAGACAAUUGACCCUUUCUGACCCAUCAAGAAUUCAACAGUACUAUAACCUACACUAUCACUUCUGCAGUGUUAUACUGUACAUAGUUCCAGUGCAAUAAUCUCGACCAUAAUCUACUUGAAACACAACAGAUCAUUAAACAUGACAAUCAAAAAAACGAGUCCUAGGAUGAAAUUAGCAGGAAAUGCUACCUGUUUUAGCAGCACACCUCUCACUCCGGCUCACACACAAAAUAUACACGUAUUACAUAAAGGAUACACACACACACACACACACACACGUCAUACUCGGCUGCAGCUCUCUGGCCCAAUCUGUAGCUUCAGUUCAGGGAUAUGAAGCAGGAGUGAGUCAGGAAAAUGGGAACCUAGGAGAAAGUCCUCACCUAUUUAAAAUGUGUCGAAACAUUCAUUAAAGAUUUGCUCAAGUCCUUGUUUUUUAAGAUUGUUUAUGACAGUACUACAAAAAUAAAUAAAUGAAUAAAUAAAAAUAUUACUCUGGCACUUGCACCUCUACUCCGUGCACUUUGCUUCUACUGGAACUCAGUUAACGGAUCUUGUAUGGUAGCGCUACUUGUAUUGUUCUCUGCUUGAUAUAUCGCUUUGGAUAAAAGCGUCUGCUAAAUGAAUAAAUGUACUACAUAACAGGACUUGCAAGGAGCUUAUGCAUACACA
ensembl:lncRNA